rnacentral:rRNA from 1 species
AUUGAACGCUGGCGGCAGGCCUAACACAUGCAAGUCGAACGAGUGGCGGACGGGUGAGUAAUGUCUGGGUAACUGCCGAUGGGGGGGGAUAACUACUGGCAACCGUUGCUAAUACCGCCUACCAGCGGAUGGUCGCUGGUGGGAUUAGGUAGUAGGUGGGGUAACGGCCCAACUAGGCGACCAUCCCCAGCUGGUCUUAGAGGAUGACCAGCCAAACUGGAACUGAGACACGGGCCAGACUCCUACGGGAGGCAGCAGUGGGGAAUAUUGCACAAUGGGCGCAAGCCUGAUGCAGCCAUGCCGCGUGUAUGAAGAAGGCCUUAGGGUUGUAAAGUACUUUCAGCGGGGAGGCGUUACCCGCAGAAGAAGCACCGGCUAACUCCGUGCCAGCAGCCGCGGUAAUAC